UAUGGCCACAUCACAUUGAAACACCAGUUCCUGUAUCAUCACCAAAGUUAAGCAACAUCAAGUCUGGUCAGUACCUAGAUGGGUGACCACUUGGGAAUACUAGGUGCUAU